AUUGAACGCUGGCGGCAUGCCUUACACAUGCAAGUCGAACGGCAGCACGGGUGCUUGCACCUGGUGGCGAGUGGCGAACGGGUGAGUAAUACAUCGGAACGUACCUUAUCGUGGGGGAUAACGCAGCGAAAGCUGUGCUAAUACCGCAUACGCCCUGAGGGGGAAAGCGGGGGAUCGCAAGACCUCGCGCGAUUAGAGCGGCCGAUGCCUGAUUAGCUUGUUGGUGGGGUAAAAGCCCACCAAGGCGACGAUCAGUAGCUGGUCUGAGAGGACGAUCAGCCACACUGGGACUGAGACACGGCCCAGACUCCUACGGGAGGCAGCAGGGGGGAAUUUUGGACAAUGGGGGCAACCCUGAUCCAGCAAUGCCGCGUGAGUGAAGAAGGCCUUCGGGUUGUAGAGCUCUUUUGUCAGUGAAGAAACACCGGCUCUAACACUGUCUGGGAAUGACGGUACCUGAAGAAUAAGCACCGGCUAACUACGUGCCAGCCGCCGCCGUAA
rnacentral:rRNA from 1 species